CACAUCUCACCCGAGGUGCUUCGAGUGGGUAGAGUGAGAGAUGUGCCUGCUCGUGCUGUAGAGCUCACAUGCUGCUGUGCCAAGACAAGGCCCAGCUAAUGGAGAUGUUAGAAAUGAGUCAGUUACCUGAGGGGAAUCCGAACAGUAUUCAUCUUGGGAAAGAGGAAGCAGGGGCAUGUCAGGGUGUGCAUUUUGCAUUUGAUACAAAAUAGGAGGACAGCCUAUCAGUACUACUUCACAGCUCUAACUUCUGAGAAGCUGAAAUUCACAGUGCCUGAGCCCUCAGUUUCAUUACAUUCACAGGGAUCUUUCUUCUUAGACCCUGGGGACAAGCAUGGCUGGCAUGCAGUAGGAUUGCAUAGCUAAGGGUUGGAGAGUUGGUAAAAUAUUUAAAUUGCGGUAUAGCCCACUAAUGGAUGACUGUACUAUUAGGUAUUAACUGGAUGAAAAUAAUGACAAGAACUGCGUAACUGUCUUUCUUCCAGGAUAUGAGAUGCCUCGAGGAUAGGACAAGCUCCCAAUGCAUUACAGUAAUAAAUCUGAAAUCCAUUAGUGGAACAUAUCAAAUAUUCAAGUAAAACCACUCAAAAUGUUUUAUAUCUUGGUUAUUUUUUUAAUGACCCAAGUUUCUACACAAAGGGCAGCAGUGAGAGAACAAGAACAGAUAGUGACCAUUAUAAUUAAAAUUACAAACAUUUCGUUUAUAAUCUGCUGCUUUUAGGGGCUGGUGACUUUUUGAAAACUCAUAUUUUUACCUGAAAUUGUAAUGGCUGAUCUAACUGAAGGCAAUGAUGUUGUCGUUAAUCUGGAGACGGCCUGUUGGGUUAGUAUGAGGGAUAAGGAAACAAUCUUUUAGUUUAAAAAAAUCCCCUAGUCUCUUUCAUUUCUCAUGCUUGGCAACAGGAGACUGAUGAGGCAUAUCCCUUGGGCAAAAGUCAAGUUGUACUUUUAUUUUAGAUCUGAGAGGAUGAAGAGGCUUUGUGCAUUGCACUGCAUAUUUGAGGAGGGUUGCACCAAAAGAUCAAGGUUGAACUUUAGUGCCACCACACUAGCAUCCAGCCUCAGGUUUUUCACAGUUUUAAAGUUCAGGCUUGAGCCCCAGGAGUGACAAAUGUGGCCAAGUAGCAACUAAUGGCUUUUCUGCUGGCUGUGUUAACCCUUUUCCUUCUCUUGGUGAAGUCAAGCCUGGUUUUGGAACAAGCAUUAUUCUAUCAGAGCAAACUUAAUAUUGUCGUCUUAGGAAUCUGGGCUAACCCAUCUGGGUUAUUUAGGAUUCAGCUCCCAGUUCACUUGGUUGACAGUGAGAGGACUCUGUCAACGAGGGAUGUUUGUGCAAGAAUUGCUUAUUUGGUAUGAUCUCAGCGCUUUUGAGUAUGCUGCUGUGGAUAAUUGACUGUAAACAUUUCCAGCAACAUACACAGAAUUUCCCAGCUAAGAUCAGCUUUAUUACAACACAAUCUGCAGUCCAUGCUCUUCAGCUGACCACAAAUGCUACUCUUUGACCUGAAAUUCAAGGGCACGUUUUCGGGGACUGUGGCACAGAGGAGGACUACAAGCCCUUCUGGCGCUGACAGCAUCCCAUCCAGUAGCGUUCAUUUGUGCAUCACAUAAAAUAGGACUUCAAGAUAAACUGCCAUGGGAUAAUAUCUGCCUACAUGCACAGUGUUGUGUAAUUGUUUCCAGUACACUUAUUAUCAUGUAUAAUUACUUUAGUACACUCGAUAUGGAAAAAAAGCUGCUAUAAGCAUGCAGGCAGUACUUUGGAUUAUAUGACUAGCUUAGCUCUGUUACCAAUAUCCCCAGCCCCACGACUUGAUUAAAUUCUCUGGACAGUCCAAAGGAAACUCUUCUGGAUUCAACUUGGAAAAAAACAAGAUUGCUAGAAAAGCGUUGUGUAGAGAAGAAAUAUCUCAUCCUGAAAAACAUCUUUUGCCUAAACUUAGCAACAUGGUGGAAUUUCUGUAAGAGUGGACUCAGACAGGAAUCCCUCUUAAAUGCUUCCUUUGCUCAAACAAGAUCUGUUUCAUAACUAGGCCACUUUAUUAUUUCCUUAUCUCUUGAGUAGCUGCCUUUCAGUCUCAAGUAGGGACUGUUCCCCAUUCCCGAAUCAAUAUCUAUCAAUCAUAGAGCAAAUUCACAUUUAUUUGGGAAAUGUGACCAAGAAGUGUGACUUUAGUACAUAUUCAAUCUGAUGGGGUUUUUUUGUUUGUUUAUUUUGUGAUUUUUUUCCCUUUGUGUUCAGUUGAAGCAAUUAGAAUAAUUGCUGUCAUUAAAUUGUACGCCUAGUUAACCAAA